CCCUUAGAUGUUCUGGGCUGCACGCGCGCUACACUGAUGCGUUCAACGAGUGUAUCACCUUGCCCGAUAGGGUUGGGUAAUCUUUUGAACACGCAUCGUGAUGGGGAUAGAUUAUUGCAAUUAUUAAUCUUCAACGAGGAAUUCCUAGUAAUGAUGAAUCAUCAGUUCAUCGUGAUUACGUCCCUGCCCUUUGUACACACCGCCCGUCGCUCCUACCGAUUGAAUGUUCCGGUGAGCUCUUCGGACUGCGCGGUCUGCAGUUUCUGCGUUCCGUGCGGAAGUUGCGCAAACCUUAACAUUUAGAGGAAGGAGAAGUCGUAACA
rnacentral:rRNA from 1 species